rnacentral:lncRNA from 1 species
AUUUUACAUAUGGACGGGGCAUAAAUGUCAUUUUAUGUAGCACCUAUAGAUACAACUUGAUUAUCAUUGGGAAAAAUGUUCUGUUCCAGUUCUAUUGAUAAAUAAGACUACAAUUUGUUUUGUUUUCAAAUAUUCUUUACAACAACUAUAUGUACGAAUUUGGGUUGGCUAAAGAGGGUUUCAGUUUCAUUACACAUGAGCAGAUGAGACUUUUAAGGCUUGAAAGAUUCUACAGAAUUAAAAAAAAAUAAUCAGAUGCAAGUCAACACAAUAUUAUAUACUACAAGAUGCAUUUAAUUAUAGACUGCACAACAUAUCACUUCCUACAGUAGGAAGAAAAGACUAGCUUACAGGUAACCACCAACUAUGGAGAGAGGAAGACAAGAAAUGUUUUCUAUCAAUUAAGAUUUAUUCCAAAGACGAAGAAAGACAAUUGAACAAAAAUCCCUGUGCAGUUAUGGACAAAUGUUACUAAUUUUAACAAAUAAGUGUAUGUGAGUUUUGAAACUAACCAUUGCCAGAAAUAUAAAGCCACAUUGUAAAUGUAUGUCUCUUCCGAUUACACACAUAUAAAGUUCACAAUUUGGACAGAGGAAUUGGAAAAAAAGCCUCCCUAGAAUGAAUUGCACAUUCAUUGUGUAUUUACCAGAUUUGUAGACCUUAUAAGAAUGUACCUGUACACACUUAUUUAUGGAUGAAUAUUUGACAACCACAGAAAAUAAAAAUAAAUCAAGGUAAGUGUCCUUUUGAAAAUACCUUUUAUUACAAAUUAUGUACAUACCUUUUGACAUACAUUAUUGCAAGGAUUUUUAUAGACUGACAGAUAGAACAAUGUAAAAUGAUGUAGGAAGUAAAUCAUAAAUGACAACACAAAUAAUGCAAAAUUCAUAGCUAAGCUUUAUUAAAAGAAAUGUGAAGAUAAACAGCAUUAAAACAAAAGAACUACAAAUUUAACCAUCUAGAACAUAUGUAAGACCAAAACUUGAAACUGUAAUAUCUGGUACCAUGGGCAGAAACAACAGAUUGAUCAAAUGGAAAUGGUCCGAAGAAACAUUGAUUAAAAGCAGUUCCCAAAUAAGGGUUAGUGCCAUGCUUGACCAUUUACAAUGUCCAACACUACAACAGAGUAAAAAAAAAAUCAUCAGUCACAAUAAUUUACAAAAUUUAAACCAACUACUUAUACUAUAGUCCUCACAACAAAUACAGUAUUUUUAGUACCUGUACUCAGAGAUUAUAAAUACUGUGGAUUCAUUUGUUUUCGUGGAUACCAAUUUUCGUAGAUUGUGGAAAAAUGGUGUUUUCGAGGAUAUUUGAUUUUGUGGUUUUGCAAAAGUCUGCAUGCAAGCCUAUACAAAAUUCCUACUUCGUUGUUUAUUUGAAUUCUUGGAUUACCUAUACCUACGAAAUCCACGAAAAUUGGUAUCCCACGAAUAUUAAUGAAUCAUCAGUACAUGUAUGAAAGGUUUUAGCAAAAAUUUACAGUUGAGCAAUUUACGCUUUUUACAGCUUCUUAGUUUAUUUUUCAGCUUUUUUGUUCAUUGUUAAAAUUGUAUAAUAAAUACGUAAAAGAAAGUGAUAAAAUUAUUUUACCAAAUUGCUUGUUAUAUCCUCAGGAUGUUUCAAAUAAUUUUGAGCGAAGCUUUAGGGAGACUCCAUAUGAGAGUUAUUAAGGUCAAAGUCAAAGGUCAAGGUCAUACUUGAAUUUUUUUAGUUUUACUUGUUAUCAGUUUUUCUAAUUAACUGUAAAAGAUAUCAACUUCCUAUUUACACCAAAAUGUUAGUCGCAACAAGUCUAAUGCCUCAUAUUUAGUCUAACCGGUAUGUUGACAUUUAAUGGGAGUUUUCUCCCCUUGAAAACUUUAAAAAUAAAUAUUAUGGGAUAAAUCUCAUUUAUCAUUCAUAGUAUAUAAUGAGACCUGAAGUGACAACUUGAAGUAGCCGAUUAUCUCCCUUUAUUUAAUUAAAAAGAUACAUAAUUCAUACAUAUUUGGAAUCAGUGUUGAAUUACCUUUCAUUAAGAACAUAAAAGAGAUUUUAUAAACAAGAAGUACAAUUGGAUCUCCCUUAGAUCAUUUUUAGCAGCUUUAUUGAAAAUACUUUCAAUUGUUCUCUGAACAAUUUGUUCACUAGUUGUAAAAUAUGUUUCUUUUCAGACAUAAACACUUGAUCCAUUUUGUAAAAUAUGAAAACAUGAACAUGAUGUAUUUGUAUGUAUAUAUAUACAUUGUAAACACAUCCAAAGUCAAUUUCUUAUCUUUUUCAGUUGGACUGGCGUCAUGCAUUCACGGUUCAGCCUAAAUUCCAAAACAAUGGUUUAUUUGUUAAACAUGAUUUAUGAAAGGUUUAAAGACAUUCUGGAUUUAUGGUAGGAAAU